UCAUUUGUGUGUGUGUGUGUGUGUGUGUGUUUGUGUGUGUUUCAAAUAGAAGCACAUUCAGAGAUGCUUUAUUUAAUUGGUUGUGGACCACCUGGAGUUUCAACAUUUCCCGUGGCUGAUUUCCGACUCCCUCAGGUCAGCUAUACAUGUGAUGUCAAUAGCUGCAGAGGAGACAGAUGAAAUAUGUCAUUUGCCAUUCUAAACUAGUAUAAUGUUGCAUGGAUUAUUGCAAUGAUUGUGUUUCAAAUGCUGUGUUGUUUAUUUGUGUUUUAUC